GAGUUUGAUCCUGGCUCAGGAUGAACGCUGGCGGCGUGCUUAACACAUGCAAGUCGAACGAAACACCUUAUUUGAUUUUCUUCGGAACUGAAGAUUUGGUGAUUGAGUGGCGGACGGGUGAGUAACGCGUGGGUAACCUACCCUGUACAGGGGGAUAACAGUCAGAAAUGACUGCUAAUACCGCAUAAGACCACAGCACCGCAUGGUGCAGGGGUAAAAACUCCGGUGGUACAGGAUGGACCCGCGUCUGAUUAGCUGGUUGGUGAGGUAACGGCUCACCAAGGCGACGAUCAGUAGCCGGCUUGAGAGAGUGAACGGCCACAUUGGGACCGAGACACGGCCCAAACUCCUACGGGAGGCAGCAGUGGGGAAUAUUGCACAAUGGGGGAAACCCUGAUGCAGCGACGCCGCGUGAGUGAAGAAGUAUCUCGGUAUGUAAAGCUCUAUCAGCAGGGAAGAAAAUGACGGUACCUGACUAAGAAGCCCCGGCUAACUACGUGCCAGCCGCCGCGGUAAUUC
rnacentral:rRNA from 1 species